rnacentral:rRNA from 1 species
CACGUAGUUAGCCGGUGCUUCUUUACCCAUUACCGUCACUCACGCUUCGUCACAGGCGGAAGCGGUUUACAACCCGAAGGCCGUCAUCCCGCACGCGGCGUUGCUGCAUCAGGCUUCCGCCCAUUGUGCAAUAUUCCCCACUGCUGCCUCCCGUAGGAGUCUGGGCCGUAUCUCAGUCCCAAUGUGGCCGGUCACCCUCUCAGGCCGGCUACCCGUCAAAGCCUUGGUAAGCCACUAUCCCACCAACAAGCUGAUAAGCCGCGAGUCCAUCCCCAACCGCCGAAACUUUCCAACCCCCACCAUGCAGCAGGAGCUCCUAUCCGGUAUUAGCCCCAGUUUCCUGAAGUUAUCCCAAAGUCAAGGGCAGGUUACUCACGUGUUACUCACCCGUUCGCCACUCGAGCACCCACAAAAGCAGGGCCUUCCGUCGACUUGCAUGUGUUAAGCACGCCGCCAGCGUCGUCCUGAGCCAGGAUACGAACUCU